UACGUAGGGGGCGAGCGUUGUCCGGAUUUAUUGGGCGUAAAGAGCGUGUAGGCGGUUUGGUAGGUCCGCUGUGAAAACUCGAGGCUCAACCUCGAGACGCCGGUGGAAACCAUCAGGCUAGAGUCCGGAAGAGGAGAGUGGAAUUCCUGGUGUAGCGGUGAAAUGCGCAGAUAUCAGGAAGAACACCCGUGGCUAAGGCGGCUCUCUAGUACGGUACUGACGCUGAGACGCGAAAGCGUGGGGAGCGAACAGG
rnacentral:rRNA from 1 species